ensembl:lncRNA
UGAGGAAAGGACACUUUGCCUCAGACUGGGACAAUCGGCACUCCCGCCUGCUGUACAAAGUAUUGGGACUUCCCUGGCUGAUUGUGGUGUGGAUGUUGAAUUUCAUCCUUCUUUAAUAAACAUUUUUAUAAAAAGAAAUUUAUGCAAUCUGGAUGCUACUUUCUUCCAACAAAACUGUCUCCAGCAUGAACUACUUUGUGACCUUCCAAGGAUCUAACCUCGAUGAGUCUCAUCUCUAAAACCAGGCAAUCCUCUCUGACAGGCUAAGAGAAAAGACACGGGAAGUGUAAUUCGUUCGGGGUCCCUGACGGAUAGAGAAGCUUUCCACAGUGAAUGGAAAAGUCUAGAAGCCCAACUUCUCUCCUGAGGGACCUUCCUUCUCUUUGUUCCUCUCCCCACGCUCCUUACACUCAUUCCGGGAAACGCCUCAAACUUUCAACAGCGCCUCCCAGAAGGAUUCCAUUCUUUCUUUAAUCCUAUCAGGCUCUGAGGUAAUUUGCAUAGCAAAUAAGUAUCACGCCCCACGUAUUUGGAUUGGGUUUCUGACGUCGUAUACUAGACAGAACAAUAUAAAAAGGCAGACAUAGUACCGGACUGAAUCAUUCGCCCGUUUUCCUAGAGUGGCUACAGGUCUCUGCCUGGUCAGGAGGCUGGAGCUAUGGAGCCCCAUCCAUCAAACCUGGAGGAUCUGUCUUGUCGGUGGGCAUAUCCAGAGCCUAACCUGCCAGUGGGCCUGAAUCGAGAACAGGCCUGGGCCUGGGCGCUGGAUAACUUCCCUGCGCUGAGCCGCCACUCCUGCCAACGUCCCCAGCUCUGUGGCGACUGGAACUAUAGCGUGUGCGGGAUGCUGUGCCUUGCUUGCACCGGGCACGGAGACAUCUCCACAGUCGACAGGGGCCAAAAACGCUAUCGAGACCCAGCUGUCCAAGAGCCAGUGGCUGAAACCGAGAUGGAGCGACAGUCACCUCAAGAAGAGGCAGAUGCUACAGACCGCACAGCCCGAUGGAGCCAGAACCAGCCAGGCGACGCCAGCGUCAGCGGAGGCGGACAGAUCCGUAGUGAGAUCGCUCCCAGGAGCCCAGGCCGUCCCCGGAAGCUGCUGAAAACCACGCCAUAAAACAGGUUGGAAUCCAGAAAGGAAAGAAACCUUAGUCCUUCGCCUGGCCCCAGCGCUGCCGCCUUCAACCGAUGUCCUGGAGGGAGCGCAAGACACCCCAGUGGGUCCCUAAUUCCGUCUGCGUGGACUUAGCUGCCACAGCGCCCUGCAUGCAUAGAAGCCUUGAGUUUUCCGUGGUGGAGAACAUUCCUUAUUUUGUUCUUCCUCUCUUGAAUGAAUUAAAGACUUUUCAAUGAAUAAAACUCUCCAUGUAAUAAACAAUAUACUAAGGAACUUUUUUAAGGUCUACUCAGAGUUGUCAUGAUUUUUCCCUUAUUGAAAUUGCAUGUGGUGAUUAAAACCUGUUUCCUUAUUCUCUGCCAGUGGAAUUGAUUUUGGGUGGAUGCAGUCAGGAUUACAAGUCCUAUAGGUGGGCCUGAGGAAGAAAGGGAGGCGGUGACCCUGGUCCCUACUCAUUACAAUGAGUGAAAUUCAAAUUAAUACAAAGAUAUAUUUUUGUUUUGCAUAAUGGCAUAUAUGAAACUUCUUCCUGACACCCUAGGUUGGUAAACAUUUGGAAAGUAUAACUCCCAAACACCACUGGUAGGAAUGAAUUGGAAAGGAUCUUUGGAAAGGCAAUAUGCAUUA